GGACAGUGACGAAUUCUUGUGAAAGGUCUCGUUCGUCGUAAUUGGCUUCGGCCUUGCCGACCAUCCUGCUAUAUCACCACCCAUAUUCUGAGUCC